GCUGCACCAAUUUGCAUUCCCACCAACAGUGCAAGAGGGUUCCUGUUUCUCCACGUCUUCGUCUGGCACCUUUUUUAAAUGACGAGGAACUGUAAACAUUUUUUAGUGAUUCUGAAAAACACCUGCCCGUCAUUCUGCCCUGCAUCCUCCCAGAAGCCUAAUUGGAAGUUUUUGCUUCCAGAAUAUUAACCAUAAUUCAACAGAGUCCUUUCUGCUUCCGGAAAGGGCUGAAAUAAAGAUGUGACCAUUGUACCACCGCGUUCAACAGUGCGUGAGAUGCUGCACGGAAUGUAACAUGCUCUGUCUACAGAACGUCCUCUCAGAUUGCGAUCUAAGAAAAUUAAAAAGGUAUACACCGUACUUUCUCAUUUCAUCGUGUUCCGGGUUUGGAAGGACGGCGGAGGCCCCCGUGGGAGGCACGCACAGCACGCCACGCCCCCUUGAGAUAGAAGUCACAGGAAGGUGAGGAGCUGCGCAGUGCGAGGUAGCCAGUUCUGAGACCUGCCCUGAGCAGGAGCCUGCUGUCAAACCCUGGGGCAAGGGGAACCCUCCCUCUGCCAUCGGUUUCAUAUCCCAGCCUGGGUUUCUUUGGCCGCUACAGGGAAGCAUCGAGCACCUCUGGUUUAGGGACGCAGAGCCAGGCCUGUGGCCACUGUGGGCGCGUCUGUCCACCACGCAACUUCUCAAGGGGUGGCGGCCUUUCCAGUCCCCGCGUGGUGAGGUUCAGGACACCACUUCCACUGCCUUUUAGAAAUCGGGUGGGCGUUGGGGCUUGGUUUCAUUGCAAAGGUGAGAAAUCCUUCUUUAAAAUUGAAAUGAUACUCAAGUCUGUAUAUAAAGUAAAAAGUAAAAUUCUCCCUCAAGUCCUACUCCCCAGAGGGAAGAGUAGUUACAUUGGGCAUGUAUCCUUCUAGCCGUAGGCAUCUGUGAACACCUCUCUCUCUCUCUCUCUCUCUCUUUCACUUUCUUUCCAUGCACACAUCCCAAUAGUCCAUCUGUUUUCUUUUUAGGCAAAUGGGCUUCUGUGAUAUGUGUUAUCCUACAAUUGGCUUGUUUUCCCUUAAUGUUUCUUAGGCAUUAUUUUGUUUCUCUACUUAUUCCUAAACUUCAUUCUCAUUGCCUGCACAGUGCAAUCCCUAGCAUGGAUACAUUACAAUUGUUCACUCGGAAGGUACUUUUUAUUUCAAAUGAUAUAUACAAAAAUAAAUAUCUUGAGCCAUCUUUCUUUCAAUGGCAGACUUGUUCCUUCAACCAAGGUGGCUGCUUCUUGUUAACUAACACAGUCAGCUCUGUUCCCUAGGAAUCCUUUACUCUUUCAGGACUUCAGAGUGAUUGUUUCAUAAUAUUGGUGGGUUUUUUGUUUUGUUUUUUUUUUUAAUUUUUUUUUAACGUUUAUUUAUUUUUGAGACAGAGAGACAGACCAUGAAUGGGGGAGGAGCAGAGAGAGAGGGAGACACAGAAUCGGAAGCAGGCUCCAGGCUCUGAGCCAUCAGCCCAGAGCCUGACGCGGGGCUCGAACUCAGGGACCGUGAGAUCGCGAGAUCGUGACCUGAGCUGAAGUCGGACGCUUAACCGACUGAGCCACCCAGGCGCCCCUGGUGGAUUUUAUUGUAAAGCUUCUUAGGGACUAUUUGGAGGAGGGAGAAAGAGUAUUGUUCAUGUAAAAGAAAUCCAAAGUUUCAGCUUUAAAAUUUUUUUGUGUGUGUUUAUUUUUGACAGAGAGAGAGACAAAACAUGAGUGGGGGAGGGGCAGAGAGAGAGGGAGACACAGAAUCUGAAAUAGGCUCCAGGCUCUGAGCUAUCAGCACGGACCCCAACGCAGGGCUUGAACUCACAGACCGCGAGAUCAUGACCUGAGCUGAAGUCAGACACUCAACUGACUGAGCCACCCAGGCACCCCUAAAGUUUCAGCUUUAGAUGUCACCUUAUAAAGUGGAAACAGGUAGGUUACAUUCCUUUGAUGCAACAGACCAGGGUUUGUUUUGGGCAGUUCUGGCCCUAAAAAUGCUAAAAGUAUUUUUCCUUCAGGUACCUCAUGGUUUGAAGGAUUUCUUUUCUUGCCAAACAAAAUGAAUUUGUUAAACAAUUAUUUAUUUUCCUGUUUUUAUUAAUCACAAAUACUAAAGUGUCAAUUAGGAUUCCUGGUCAAAACGAAAUCAUUGGUAUCACUUUGAUAGUGUUCUGGCAAAGAAAUCUGAUGGUGAAGUUUUGUUGGGUAAAUGUGUGAUCGCCUUUAGGCUUUUUCAAAUACUAAACACAGAUCACAGUUCUCUAUUACUGCCUUUUGGGUCCCAAGGGGCUUGGACUGGGAGCAUUUGUCAAGUGUGUCAAAAGAAAAGCUGUGAAUAGAUUUAGGUAAGAGACACAUCACUGGCUUCAUCUAAAUUAUUGGGAAGUUUUGCAGAUUGUAUGUUACUUUUGGGGGGGGUGGGUUAAUCUUAAAUUACAUGAAUAAAUACAGCCAAGACUCUACUAAGAGAAAUGUACAUUUUUAAACUCAGAAAGCUUUGGUUUCUGGUUUUGUUGUUUUUUUUUUUUUUUAACGUUUAUUUUUGAGACAGAGACAGAGCAUGAACAGGGGAGGGGCAGAGAGAGAGGGAGACACAGAAUCUGAAACGGGCUCCAGGCUCUGAGCUGGCAGCACAGAGCCCGACGCGGGGCUCGAACUCACGGACCGCGAGAUCAUGACCUGAGCCGAAGUCGGACGCUUAACUGACUGAGCCACCCAGGCGCCCCACUUUGGUUUCUGUUUUAAUUGAAGUAUGAUCCACACGCAAUGUUAUGGUAGUUUCAGGUCUCACCAUGUUAGAUACCAUCUGUCACCGUGUAACGUUAUUACAAUAUUGACUGUAUUUCUUGUGCUGUACUUUUAAUCUCUGUGACUUAUUUCAUAAUUUGAAGUUUGUACCUCUUAAUCCCCUUUAUCAAUUUCACCCAUUCCCCCACCCACCUCCCUCUGGCAACCACCAGUUUGUUCUCUGUAUUCGAGUCUGUUUCCGUUUCUUCUUUUGUGUUUCAAUUCCACGUAGGAGUGAAAUCCUAUGGUAUUUCUCUGACUUGUUUCACUUAGCAUAAUAGGUGUAUAUACAUAUAUAGAAGUACACACACACACACACACACACCACUCUUCUUUAUCCAUUCAUCUAUUGAUGAAAACUUGGGUUGCCUCUAUACCUUGGCUAUUGUAAAUCAUGCUGCAAUAAACACAGGAGGUCCAUAUCUUUUCAUUUUCUUUGGGUAAAUAUCCAGCAGUGGAAAUACUGGAUCACAGGUAUUUCUGUUUUUAAUUUUUUUGGGAACUUCCACACCGUCUUCCAGUGUGGUUGCGCGAGUUUGCAUUCCCACCAACAGUGCAGGGGGGGGGUCCGUUUCCCCUACAUCCUCACCAACAUGGUUAUUUCUUAUCUUUUUGAUACUAGGCAUUCUGCCAGGUGUGAGGUGGCAUCUCAUUGUGGUUUUGAUUUGCAUUUUCCUGAGGCUGAGUGAUGCUGAGUAUCUUUUCAUAAGUCUGUUAUCCGUCUGUAUAUCUUCUUUGAGAAAAUGGCUAUUAAGUUCCUCUGCCCAUUUUUAAAUCAGGUUGUUGCUUUUCUUUUUUUUUUUUUUUUUGGUGUGGAGCUUUAUCAGCUCUUUAUAUAUUUUGGAUUUUAACCCCUUUUGGCUAUAUCAUUUGCACAUAUCUUUAACAGGUUGCAUUUUGGUUUUGUUGAUAGCUUCCUUUGCUGUGCAGAAGUUUUUUGACGAAGUCUUGGUAGUUUAUUUUUGCUUUUGUUUCCCUUGAGACAUAUCCUUAGAUAUUUGCUAAGGCUGACAUCCAAGAGAUUACUAUCUAUGUUUUCUUUUAGGAGUUUUAUGGUUUUGGGUCUCAUAUUUACAUCUUUAACCCAUUUGAGUUAAUUUUGUGUAUGGUGAAAGAAAGCGGUCCAAUUUCAUUCUUCUGCAUGUAGCUGUCCAGUUUUCCCAACACGAUUUGUUGAAGAGACUGUCUUUUUCCCAUUGCAUAUUCCUGCCACCUUUGUCCUAGAUUAACUGACCAUGUAGCUACGGGUUUAUUUCCAGGCUCUCUAUCCUGUUGCACAUGUGCUACUUUUAUAUCUCAAACUUCUCCCUCAUCUAUCACUUCAAGCCAAAUAUAGUCUGUUCUACAACAAAUGUUUCACAAUCAGUAAAUAGGAAGAGAAAUAAAGUAUAAUACGGAAGUUUUCCUGGUUCCUAAUCAAGGGGAGCCAGAAUAUUGGGAGCAGAAAAACACGUUGGCCAUGUGGUGAGCUCAACUUUUAAAGAAGUAAAAAUGAGCACCAGUUAUUUCGGGCUCCUUUACCAUAAUUUAGGCCAUUUCCUUUUUUGGGUAUUUAGAUCGGUCUCAAUUUUUCAGUUUGCAGACGGUGAUCUCUGUGACUCUGUCCUUUGCGAAGUAUGCCUAGAGGAUGAAUUUCUAGAGGUGGACUUGUAAAUAGGAAACAGCAAACUUGGGAACGAAGACGAAGCUCCAGUCACAAAGUUUGCGUAGCACUUGCCACUUGGCACUUGCUAUUUCAGACACAGGGUUUCUCAGCUGUGAACUGCCUGUCAACGUCAGUUCCCACCCCGAAGUGAGAGUCAGAGAUUUUAGUCCCAAGGCAACGAAGAAUUGGAGUACAAAGAAGUGAACCAAGGUAUGGAAAGAAAUUGACCACAGAGCAUGGCUUUCAAAAUGAACUGGAACAAACCAAAAAUGUUCAUGGCCACAGAUGCACUCGCUGUCUUUAUCACCUGUAAAUUUGAGCCAAACAGGACAUUCUAAAAUGCUUUCUCCUACUGAUAAAUACAAAUAAAGCCGGCGUCUUAACCACUGACUUCUAAAACGCUGGACUUUCCGAGAACAGUCACUUAAUGUUUUCUAUCUGCCAGCCCUUUGGAACUUCACAUCCAUUACCAACCAUACUGAGACCUUUGAACCACCACUGAGGUGAGCAGGGGCAUUCUUGUCCUUGUUUUAACACGUAAGGGACCGGGUGCAGCCGGGGUAACGUUGCCAAACGGAGACAGCUAAGCAGGGGUAGAACCGACAUCAGAACCCAGCUCUUUCGCCAGCCCAUUAAACACACAGUUAGGGACUAACUGG
rnacentral:lncRNA from 1 species